AGUACUCAUUUGAUUUUUCUUCAAAGUAAGCUUCUUUCUGAUCAGUAGAGUAGUCUUCUUCUUCUGAACCAGGCUCCUUUGACCAAUGCUCAAAUU
rnacentral:sRNA from 1 species